AUUGAACGCUGGCGGCAUGCUUUACACAUGCAAGUCGAACGGCAGCGCGGGCUUCGGCCUGGCGGCGAGUGGCGAACGGGUGAGUAAUGCAUCGGAACGUGCCCAGUAGUGGGGGAUAGCCCGGCGAAAGCCGGAUUAAUACCGCAUACGACCUGAGGGUGAAAGCGGGGGACCGAAAGGCCUCGCGCUAUUGGAGCGGCCGAUGUCGGAUUAGCUAGUUGGUGGGGUAAAGGCUUACCAAGGCGACGAUCCGUAGCUGGUCUGAGAGGACGACCAGCCACACUGGGACUGAGACACGGCCCAGACUCCUACGGGAGGCAGCAGUGGGGAAUUUUGGACAAUGGGGGCAACCCUGAUCCAGCCAUGCCGCGUGCGGGAAGAAGGCCUGCGGGUUGUAAACCGCUUUUGUUCGGGAAGAAAUCCUCUGGGCUAAUACCCCGGGGGAUGACGGUACCGGAAGAAUAAGCACCGGCUAACUACGUG
rnacentral:rRNA from 1 species